rnacentral:snoRNA from 1 species
AAGACUAUACUUUCAGGGAUCAUUUCUAUAGUUUGUCACUAGAGAAGUUUCUCUGGAUGUGUAGAGCACCCGAAACCAUGAGGAGGAGGCGCAGCGUCCUCUCCUGAGCGUCCUCUCCUGAGCGUGAAGCCGGCUUUUGGCGUUGCUUUUGCAGCUGCUACCAGCCAUUGAUGAUCGCUCUUCUCUUCCACUGGGAGAAUAAGAGGGAAAGGAUGUAGUCUGAGUGGU